UGAAUACGAGACGCUAAGGCGUCGAAGUAGUGUAUGUCAUACUUCCAAGAAAUGCUUGCACUGUCAUAGAUAAAAAACGCCUGUACCAUAACCGACACAGGUGGGUAAGUAGAGUAUACUAAGGGGCGCGAGAUAACUCUCUCUAAGGAACUCGGCAAAAUAACUCCGUAACUUCGGGAGAAGGAGUGCCUUAUUCGUAAGGUUGCAAUAACAAGAUCCAAGCAACUGUUUAUCAAAAACACAGGUCUCCGCUAAGUCGUAAGACGAUGUAUGGGGGCUGACGCCUGCCCAGUGCCAGAAGGUUAAAGAAGUUGGUUAGCAAUUGCGAAGCUGAUAACUGAAGCCCUGGUGAACGGCGGCCGUAACUAUAACGGUCCUAAGGUAGCGAAAUUCCUUGUCGGGUAAGUUCCGACCCGCACGAAAGGCGUAAUGAUUUGGAUACUGUCUCGGAGAGGGGCUCGGUGAAAUAGACUUGUCUGUGAAGAUGCGGACUACCUGCACCAGGACAGAAAGACCCUAUGAAGCUUUACUGUAACUUGAAAUUGAAAUUGGACUUUAUUCGCCAGUAUAGGUGGGAGGCGUUCAUUAUAAUCUUGUGGGAUUAUUGGAGCCAUCAGUGAGAUACCACUCUUGUAAUGUUAGAUUUCUAACUUUGAAUCAUUAUCUGGUCAAAGAACAGUUUCAGGCGGGCAGUUUGACUGGGGCGGUCGCCUCCUAAACGGUAACGGAGGCGUACAAAGGUUUCCUCUGAACGGUUAGAAGUCGUAUCUAGAGUGUAAAGGCAUAAGGAAGCUUGACUGUGAGACCUACAAGUCGAGCAGGGACGAAAGUCGGUCUUAGUGAUCUGACGGUACUGAGUGGAAAGGCCGUCACUCAACGGAUAAAAGUUACUCUAGGAUAACAGGCUGAUCUCCCCCAAGAGUUCACAUCGACGGGGAGGUUUGGCACCUCGAUGUCGGCUCAUCGCAUCCUGGGGCGGUAGUACGUCCCAAGGGUUGGGCUGUCCGCCCAUGAAAGCGGUACGCGAGCUGGGUUCAGAACGUCGUGAGACAGUUCGGUCCAUAUCCGGUGUAGGCGUUAGAAUAUUAAGAGGAGCCUUCUUUAGUACGAGAGGACCGAGAAGGACAUACCUCUGGUGUACCAGUUAUCGUGCCAACGGUAAACGCUGGGUAGCUGUGUAUGGAGUGGAUAACCGCUGAAAGCAUCUAAGUGGGAAGCCCACCUCAAGAUAAGUAUUCUC
rnacentral:rRNA from 1 species